AUCAUAAAAACACGCCUUUCUCAUUCAACUGAAAAACACUAAAAAGAAAGAGAAAAAUGCAACAUCUUGGAAAGUAACGUUUUAACACCAUAAAAAUUUGCACUUAUUCAACUGAAAAUUUACACUAAAAUUGACAUUAACUGUGCUUUUACAUUCCAAACCAUCAUACUAAACAUAACAAGUUAAUUGCCAAUGUUUUCCUUCCCCUAUACUUUACUUGGGGUAGUUCUACAUAACCAACUAUAACAAAUUUACUUCUAACAUCCUCAAUCUUCUGCUCUCCUUUAGUUUUAAGAUACUUUAUGACAUGGGUAAUACUCUGAAACGGAUGCCUUCUUUGGAUAUAUUUUGGGGUUUUAAUGUCUGGAGGACUUUGAUUUCUAUAUUAGCAUACUGGUUUAUGAAGUCUGGACAUAACCUAAGGAAAAUAAUCAGUUGUUUUAAAGGACAGUUCUUUCAAAUUCCCUUCAAUAUCAGAUUUAGAGCCAAAUACCAUCGAAUAUGUUGAUGCUGUAAUUCCUAGCAAAUUUCAAGAGGUCACUUUUUCUUUUCAAAAUUAUACCGUGCCCCUUCUUUGAAAAUGAGUUUCAUUUUCGAAGUCAAAAGUCCUUUCUCUUCCGCUGGCGGGCCCUCCUGGUCCCCAGAUUAGCCUGUUCCAAAGUUGGUCAUGUGUCUCACUGGGCCCCUUCAGUUGACCCAAGCGUCCCUCACCAGCUCCUAUCCAUCUCUAUCUGCUGGAAAGGCUUUGAGGUUUCAGAUUUAGGACAGCACCACUCAUUCAUGGUCUCUCCUCCAUCAGGUUCUUUAUUCUGAUAGCUUCCGGAAACAAAUACAAGGCAAAGCUGCUUACGUAUUGGAUACCCCCGAGAUGAGACGGGUGAGGGAGACCCAACGGCACAUCUCAACGGUGAAAUAUCAUGAAGACUUUGAGAAACACAAGGGUUGCUUCACACCAGUGGUGACAGAUCCUAUCACUGAACGAGUAAAGAAGAACAUGCAGGACUUCAGUGACAUUAACUACCGAGGUAUUCAGAGGAAAGUGGUAGAAAUGGAACAAAAACGGAAUGACCAAGAUCAGGAGACUAUUACAGGUAACCGAGCCUGGGUUGGGGGAGGGGAUUAACUUUAAGUGAGGGGGUAGAAGAACAAAAGUAGCAUUAUCUACAUCAAGUCAAAAUAUAAAGGACUUCAAUCUGUUUUUUUAGGGGUGCAAGAAAGCUCCUAUUAUCUCAUAGUUUACAAAGCUGAUUUCUACCUUAUCUUUGUUCUCCUCUGAGGUGAAGACAUGACCCAGAACCUAGGCUGGAAUAAGUGUGAUUCAAUCCUUUGGUGGUUGUUAAAAUUCAUGCCUUGGUUUUCAAGUUAUGGGAAAACUCCAAGAACACUUGUUCUGAUCACUGGUUUCCCUUUCAGGUUUACGUGUCUGGCGUACUAAUCCUGGUUCGGUUUUUGACUAUGAUCCAGCAGAAGACAACAUCCAGUCCCGAAGCUUACACAUGAUUAAUGGUGUGUUAUGCUGAAAAAGGCUUACAACAUAAACAUCACCAUUUAGUACGGUAGAGUCAAUGACAUUCCUUUGGGCUCUGAAGUUCCUUCCCUCCAGAGUUUUCCAUUUUCUGAGCUGCCCAUUUGGCAAAAAAUGCCUUGUUAACUAGUGAGCAAAACUUACUUUCUAGAUAAGCUCAAGUUAGAAAAAAUUUUGUUUCACCGCCUCAGUGCAUGUCUCCCAUUAUUAUCAUUUCUAACUUUUUUUCCAAAGAAAAAACAGUAGUAAAUCUUUCUAUUGGAGAAAUAAUGAAAAUACAUAGGCAAAAGGAAGAGAAAGGAUUUGACCUGUAGGAACUUCCUGAGCUCUACUGCAUCAAGGAAGUUUAUUCAUUACACAAAGCAGGCUGUACAACUUUAUUCCUUCUAUUCAUGUUAAAAAGCAGAAUACUAGCCUGGAAAAGAGAAUGAGACCCCUUCUCUACAAACAGU
rnacentral:sRNA from 1 species